UCAGCAGACCGUCCUGUCGCCUUGUUUCAUCUUCUGAUGAGCAGGGAGGAAAGUCCGGACAGCACAGAACACUGCACUUCCGAAAGGGGAGAUGUCCGUGAGGGCAUAGUAACAGAGAAGAGAACGACUGCCCCUGUAUGCCGGCGAAGGCUUGCCUUCGUCAGGCCUGCCCUCUGGCAGGCAGGGCUGCAUCGGGCGAUGGUGAGAAGGCGGGGUAAGAGCCCACCAGGGCAUGUGGUAACACAUGCUGCUGUCUGUCUUGCAGGCUGAAAGAUCAUGUAUAUCCCGGUUUAAUCUGGCCUAAGGCCUGAUUAUUCAUUGUUGUUCGCAAUGCCUUUAAUGCCGGUAACGGUAUUAAUAUCCGGGAGGGGUAGAUCGAUAAGAUAAAUGACAGGAUGCCCGGUUAUCCGGGUAACAGAAUCCGGCUUACAGGUCUGCUGUUUUU
rnacentral:RNase_P_RNA from 1 species